rnacentral:rRNA from 1 species
UUUGUAACGUAAGAUCCCUGAAAGAUGAUCAGGUUGAUAGGUCAGAGGUGGAAGCGCGGUGACGUGUGGAGCUGACUGAUACUAAUCGAUCGAGGACUUAACCUAA